rnacentral:rRNA from 1 species
UACGAAGGGGGCUAGCGUUGCUCGGAAUCACUGGGCGUAAAGCGCACGUAGGCGGCUUGUUAAGUCAGGGGUGAAAUCCUGGAGCUCAACUCCAGAACUGCCUUUGAUACUGAAGAUCUUGAGUUCGGGAGAGGUGAGUGGAACUGCGAGUGUAGAGGUGAAAUUCGUAGAUAUUCGCAAGAACACCAGUGGCGAAGGCGGCUCACUGGCCCGAUACUGACGCUGAGGCACGAAAGCGUGGGGAG